GCGCUGAAUCUUUCGAUACUAUAUCGUAAAGAAAUGUAGCGUAUAGGUAUAAUUUUCGGCUUGUUUGGCAUGUCCAAAGUUCCUUUGAUAGGGACCAUCAUCCAGAGAGGGUGCGAGGCCUGUGCGGAUAGCUGAACAUGCCGUAUGAUUAUACCUUGGAGUCGGGUUGCUUGAAAGUGCAGCCUUAAGUGGGUGAUAAACUUCAUCUAAGGCUAAAUACGAACGCGAAUUCGAUAGCAAACAAGUACUGUGAAGGAAAGUUGCAAAGAACUUUGAAGAGAGAGUUCAAGAGAACGUGAAAUCGUUGAGGUGGAACCGGAGAGAGUUGACGUAGUCUGAUGGUUAAGUAUUAUGAGAAUCGUAUUCAUUAAUUUGAAUAUGAUCAAAUAAUAUGUAUACCACCAAUGACUGUGCUGACAGUAUCGGCUGCACGAUCCAAACUAUGUUGACAUGUUGCUCAUUCUAUUCAUUUAGAAUGAUGUCUUGUGUUACGUUGUGAGGUUUGUUGUAUGUUGAUGUUGAUAAACGCCUAAUUAUUUCUAUAAUAAUUAUGUCAGCGUAAAAGUCAACCACCUCUCCGACCCGUCUUGAAACACGGACCGAGGAGUGUAACUUGUACGCAAGUCAAUAGGUGAAAAACCUUAUGGCGAAAUGAAAGUGAAGGCACGGUUAACCGGCUGACAUGGGAAACGUCUUCCAUUACGAGCAAGAUGUUGCACCAUGGCCCUGUCUUGUCUGCAUGCAGAUGGGCAGUGGUAGAGCGUACAGGUUGCGACCCGAAAGAUGGUGAACUAUGCCUGAGCAGGAUGAAGUCAGAGGAAACUCUGAUGGAAGUCCGUAUCGGUUCUGACGUGCAAAUCGAUCGAUAGACUUGGGUAUAGGGGCGAAAGACUAAUCGAACCAUCUA
rnacentral:rRNA from 1 species